rnacentral:rRNA from 1 species
UACUAGCGGUCCGAGUUGCAAUCGGUUUUAUUGGGUCUAAAACAUCCGUAGCUUGUUUAAUAAGUUUUUUGUGAAAUUUUAUAUCUCAAAUAUGAAGCGCGCAAGAAAUACUAUUAAGCUAGAGACCGGUAGAUGUAAGGAGUACGAUCGAGGUAGCGGUUAAAUGUGUUAAUCUCGGUUGGACUAACAAUCAGCGAAGGCACCUUACAAGGACGGAUCUGACAGUGAGGGAUGAAGGCCAGGGGCGCAAAACGGAUUAGAUACCCUCGUA